AGCUCGCGUCCGAUUAGCUAGUUGGUGGGGUAAGAGCCUACCAAGGCAGCGAUCGGUAGCUGGUCUGAGAGGAUGAGCAGCCACACUGGGACUGAGACACGGCCCAGACUCCUACGGGAGGCAGCAGUGGGGACUUCUCCGCAAUGGGCGAAAGCCUGACGGAGCAAUACCGCGUGAGGGAGGAAGGCUUUUGGGUUGUAAACCUCUUUUCUCAAGGAAGAAGCCAGUGACGGUACUUGAGGAAUCAGCAUCGGCUAACUCCGUGCCAGCAGCCGCGGUAAUACGGAGGAUGCAAGCGUUAUCCGGAAUCAUUGGGCGUAAAGCGUCCGCAGGUGGCGUAUCAAGUCUGCUGUCAAAGACUAGAGCUCAACUCUGGAAAGGCGGUGGAAACUGGUAGGCUAGAGUACGGUAGGGGUAGAGGGAAUUCCCAGUGUAGCGGUGAAAUGCGUAGAUAUUGGG
rnacentral:rRNA from 1 species